CACCUCCGCCGGGGAGGAGGAGGAGGAGGGAGGCUCCUCUUGAAAAGCAAAAUUCCUCCCCUGGAGGCAAAUAAAUGGAAGCAGGGAGAGAGUUACGGCUCAAGCCCAGCGGAGAGGUUUUAUGUGGAGCAAAGGGGUGCAGGGCAGGUUGCUGUCAUCUUGGAGGCUGUGGUGGUGAGACCCGCAGAGACCCCUGGAAAGCCCGGUGAUUCUCCUCAUUUCCCAGUUCUCAUCCUGAGCGUCACCACGGGAAAACCCAGCCAGGUGCGUGUGGCUGUCCCCGACUGCUCCCAGCAUCUGGGAAAGCGCUUUUCAGUGCCGAGGCUUCCCGGGGGGCGGGCGGGCAGCCCAGGCUGUGGGAAAGCCAGCCCGUUCCGCCGUGCCCCUGCCACCCCACGGCCCAGCCGGGGACUCUGCGGUCAGCCACGGCUCCGUGUGACAUUUUCUGCAGUGCACAGAGCACCUCCUGCCUCGGCCGGCCCGGAGCAUCCUUCCUUCCUUCGCUAUCAGCCGCCCGCAUCUCCCCGCGGGGCCCUGGCGCACCCGCGGCUGCGGAGCAAAGCUGCGGCCACCCAGGGCCGUGAUGCUCGCUUCGGCUUUCACCAUCCUUUUUCAGCCCAGAUUGGAAGGGAAAAAAUAUUUAUUUAUUUAUUUAUUUAUUUAUUUAUUUAUUUAUUUAUUUAUUUAAUUUUUUUUUUAGAAAGGUGGUGGGCAGUCAGCGCUGGAAUACAGGUCAGCCUCUGUCCCGGCACUGCUUGCCUUGCCCGGAGCGCAGGGAAAGGGGAUGAGCUGGCAGGAGAGGAAGGGAUCAGCCACUCUCUCCUUCGCCACCUUCUCCCAGCGCAGAAAAUCCCAGCUCAGCGCCUCGAAGCUGAGCGAGUUCCCGUUUGCAGAGAGCCAUCUGCACCUGGCGGCUCCCCGGCACGGGAGGGAUGGAGCCUCGGGAACACGCCGGGACAAAGCGAUUUUUGUUCUCCAGCUGCUCACAGAUGUGCUGUUGCAUUAACCACGGGGCUGUGA
rnacentral:lncRNA from 1 species